GGAAAAGAAAAACACCAUGUCUGGUGUUGGGAUCGAUCGAACAAGGGCAGGGAGAGGGUGAAUAACCCUAAACUCAAGAAAUCAAGAAUUGAAGCUAAAAUCUCAAGGAAAAUUCGAUGCAUGAGCCCUUCUUUGCGAAAAUCUAACCCUAAUUAUUGAAGUGGCGUGAAAGAAGAAGGUACAAGCACUAAGCAAGCGGAAGGAGCACAAGAUCGAGGCGUGAAAGAAGAAGGUACAAGCACUAAGCAAGCGGAAGGAGCACAAGAUCGAGGUAAAGCACCUCUAUAGGCGAUAUGGAGAUAUGGAACGAGCACAUGUUCAAGCCUUAUAAUACCAAGCGCUUCCGCAACUUAUAUGCAUGCUUUUUGGGUUCUUGUUUUGUUACUUGGUUAAACUUUGUUGAAUCGUUUUAGGUUUGAAAACUAGUUAUUUUCGUUGGUAUGGUUUUAUGUAAAUUGGGUCGUAUGUAAACGUUGUACGUCGUGUCAAAACAGGG